UACGGGGGGGGCAAGCGUUGUUCGGAAUUACUGGGCGUAAAGGGUCUGUAGGUGGCUUGCUAAGUCAGACGUGAAAUCCCUCAGCUUAACUGGGGAACUGCGUCUGAGACUGGCGAGCUUGAGGGCAGGAGAGGAACGCGGAAUUCCAGGUGUAGCGGUGAAAUGCGUAGAUGUCUGGAGGAACACCGGUGGCGAAGGCGGGUCUCUGGGCCGAUACUGACGCUGAGGAGCGAAAGCGUGGGGAGCGAACAGG
rnacentral:rRNA from 1 species